UAUACUCUCGUCUCCCUCGGUCUCUCGAAAACCCUAAUGCCUCGUUGAAUCGAAAUCCCUAAUUUUCUCUUUUUUAUCCAUUCACUGCUCUGUUUAUUUUUAGGUCUGUCUUUUUUUACUUUACCUUCGCUGAUGUCUGUGUGAAUAUUAUGCAGGAUUAUGGAAGACAUUUUUGUUCUUGUGCAGCCUCAGCUGGCCCAGAAAAUCAUUGCCUAAUCUCCCUUGACUCUAGAGAAAAUAUGGAUGCCUUAUGGCUUUAUUGUCAAAACCGAGAAGGAGAUUAGUCAAUGCCAUAGUAUUGUGUGUUCUGCCUAGUGUUCUAUGAGCAAAUUUCGGUUCUUCUGAAAAAAAAUUUAUUAGUAUUUUCCUGCUUUGUGGUACUGUUUGUGUAGGAGAGCAUCGUAUUUUUGUACCUAGUACUGUUCCAUUACUAGUCUUUAUUAUUGUAUUUUGAUUAGUUUA